CCUACGGGUGGCAGCAGUGAGGAAUAUUGGUCAAUGGGCGGACGCCUGAACCAGCCAAGUCGCGUGAGGGAAUACUGCCCUACGGGUCGUAAACCUCUUUUGCCGGGGAGCAAGGGCGGGGACGUGUACCGGCCCGGAGAGUACCCGGAGAAAAAGCAUCGGCUAACUCCGUGCCAGCAGCCGCGGUAAUACGGAGGAUGCGAGCGUUAUCCGGAUUUAUUGGGUUUAAAGGGAGCGUAGAGGGGUUGGUAAGUCAGUGGUUAAAGUCUGCGGCCCAACCUUAAAAUUGCAAUUGAUACUGGCAGUCUUGAGUACAGUUGAGGUAGGCGGAAUGCGUGGUGUAGCGGUGAAAUGCUUAGAUAUCACGAAGAACUCCGAUUGCGAAGGCAGCUUACCAACCUGUGACUGACAUUGAUGCUCGAAAGCGUGGGUAUCAAACAGGAUUAGAUACCCUUGUAGUC
rnacentral:rRNA from 1 species